rnacentral:tRNA from 1 species
AAGAUACUAGUAAAAUCGUUAUUACUUUGUCUUGUCAAGACAUAAUUGUAGGUUAAAAUCCUGCGUAUCUUA